GAUCAAGUAAUUAAGAGCACAAGGCGGAUGCCUUGGCAGCUGAAGGCGAUGAAGGACGUAGUAACUUGCGAUAAGCUUCGGGGAGGUGGUAAACAACCUUUGAUCCGGAGAUUUCCGAAUGGGAGAACCCAGUGUGCAUAAGCACAUUAUCUUAUACUGAAUACAUAGGUAUAUGAGGCA
rnacentral:rRNA from 1 species